GACGAACGCUGGCGGCGUGCCUAACACAUGCAAGUCGAGCGGAGACAGAUUUGAGCUUGCUUAGAUCUGUUUUAGCGGCGGACGGGUGAGUAACGCGUGAGCAACCUUUCUCUCAGUGGGGAAUAACACAGGGAAACUUGUACUAAUACCGCAUAAGCGCACAGCAUCGCAUGAUGCAGUGUAGAAAAACUCCGGUGGUAUGAGAUGGACCCGCGUCUGAUUAGCUAGUUGGUGGGGUAAAAGCCUACCAAGGCGACGAUCAGUAGCCGGCCUGAGAGGGUGAACGGCCACAUUGGGACUGAGACACGGACCCAAACUCCUACGGGAGGCAGCAGGUGGGGAAUAUUGGGCAAUGGGGGAAACCCUGACCCAGCAACGCCGCGUGGAGGAAGAAGGUUUUCGGAUCGUAAACUCCUGUCCUCAAGGAAGAGCAGAAGACGGUACUUGAGGAGGAAGCCCCGGCUAACUACGUG
rnacentral:rRNA from 1 species